UAAGGAAUAUUGGACAAUGGAGGCAACUCUGAUCCAGCCAUGCCGCGUGAAGGAAUAAGGCCCUAUGGGUUGUAAACUUCUUUUAGACGGGACAAAACCCCUUUACGUGUAAAGGGUUGAUGGUACUGUCAGAAUAAGCAUCGGCUAACUUCGUGCCAGCAGCCGCGGUAAUACGAAGGAUGCAAGCGUUAUCCGGAAUUAUUGGGUUUAAAGGGUGCGUAGGCGGACUAAUAAGCCAGUGGUGAAAGCCUGCAGCUUAACUGCAGAAUUGCCAUUGAUACUGUUAGUCUUGAGUACAGUUGAGGUAGGCGGAAUGUGUCAUGUAGCGGUGAAAUGCUUAGAUAUGACACAGAACACCGAUUGCGAAGGCAGCUUGCUAAGCUGUAACUGACGCUGAGGCACGAAAGCGUGGGGAGCAAACA
rnacentral:rRNA from 1 species